UACAGAGGGUGCGAGCGUUGUCCGGAAUCACUGGGCGUAAAGGGCGCGUAGGCGGUCUCUUAAGCGUGUGGUGAAAGCCCGGGGCUCAACUCCGGGUCGGCCGUGCGAACUGGGGGACUGGAGCUUGUCAGAGGCAGGCGGAAUUCCGGGUGUAGCGGUGGAAUGCGUAGAGAUCCGGAAGAACACCGGUGGCGAAGGCGGCCUGCUGGGACAGUGCUGACGCUGAGGCGCGACAGCGUGGGGGAGCAAACAGG
rnacentral:rRNA from 1 species